rnacentral:rRNA from 1 species
GCGAACGCUGGCGGCAGGCCUAACGCCUGCCAGUCGAACGAACUCUUCGGAGUUAGUGGCGGACGGGUGAGUAACACGUGGGAACGUGCCUUUUGGUUCGGAAUAACUCAGGGAAACUUGUGCUAAUACCGAAUGUGCCCUUCGGGGGAAAGAUUUAUCGCCAUUAGAGCGGCCCGCGUCUGAUUAGCUAGUUGGUGAGGUAACGGCUCACCAAGGCGACGAUCAGUAGCUGGUCUGAGAGGAUGACCAGCCACACUGGGACUGAGACACGGCCCAGACUCCUACGGGAGGCAGCAGUGGGGAAUCUUGCGCAAUGGGCGAAAGCCUGACGCAGCCAUGCCGCGUGAAUGAUGAAGGUCUUAGGAUUGUAAAAUUCUUUCACCGGGGACGAUAAUGACGGUACCCGGAGAAGAAGCCCCGGCUAACUUCGU